GAAAUGCGAUAAGUAAUGUGAAUUGCAGAAUUCAGUGAAUCAUCGAAUCUUUGAACGCACAUUGCGCCCGCCAGCACUCUGGCGGGCAUGCCUGUUCGAGCGUCAUUUCAACCCUCAGAACCCCUUGCGGGAUCUGGCGUGGGGGAUUGGCAUCCAGCCAGCCCCGAAAUCUAGUGGCGGUCCCUCCGCGACCUCCCCUGUGCAGUAGCGAUACCUCGCAGCGGGACAGCGGUCUGACCACGCCGUAAAACCCCCAACUUCUCAAGGUUGACCUCGAAUCAGGUAGGAAUACCCGCUGAACUUAAGC
rnacentral:misc_RNA from 1 species